rnacentral:lncRNA from 1 species
CCCAGCUACGCAGCAGGCUGAGGCAGGAGAAUCACUUGAACCCAGGAGGUGGAGGUUGCAGUGAGCCGAGAUCAUGCCAUUGCACUCCAUCCUGAACGACAGAGUGAGACUCUGUCUCAAAACAAACAAACAAACAAACAAAAAAUUAGCUGGACAUGGUGCCUUAUACCUGCAGUCUCAGCUACUAGGGAGGCUGAAGUGGGAGGAUCACUUGAUCCUGGGAGGUCAAGGCUGCAGUGGUGUGAUCUCGGCUCACUACGGCCUCCCCAUCCUGGGUCCAAGCGAUUCUUGUGCCUCAACCUCCCGAGUAGCUGGAAUUACAGGCGCGUGCCACCACGACUGGCUAAUUUUGUAUCUUUAGUAGAGACGGGGUUUUUCCACAUUGGUCAGGCUGGUCUCAAACUUCUGACCUCAGAUGAUCCGCCCACCUUGGCCACCCAAAGUGCUGGGAUUACAGGUGUGAACCACUGCGCCCGGCCAGAAGUUUUUCUUGUGAGUUGAGGUGAACAUCUGAAUCCCCUCGGGGAACUGAGGUAUGUCCCCUUCAGGGAAUGGCCCCUCUUCAUCCAAAAAUGGGGCCCACAGGUGAUAAUCUGUUGGGUUUCCCAGAAUGAAGACAUCUGGCAUAAUUAGAGCGUGAGGGUCAGGCUGACGGGGGCUAGUACCCCGAUCCAGGGGAGAGGUGGUCACAGGUCUCGCUCCACCUGCCCUGAGCCCCAUCUCAUCUUUUUUUU